AGAGUUUGAUCCUGGCUCAGGAUGAACGCUGGCGGCGUGCUUAACACAUGCAAGUCGAACGAUCCUUCGGGAUAGUGGCGGACGGGUGAGUAACGCGUGGGAAUCUGCCCUUAGGAGGGGGAUAACGGCUGGAAACGGCCGCUAAUACCCCAUAUGCCGAGAGGUGAAACGAAUUUCGCCUGAGGAUGAGCCCGCGUCUGAUUAGCUAGUUGGUGGGGUAAAGGCCUACCAAGGCGACGAUCAGUAGCUGGUCUGAGAGGAUGAUCAGCCACACUGGGACAGAGACACGGCCCAGACUCCUACGGGAGGCAGCAGUGGGGAAUUUUCCGCAAUGGGCGAAAGCCUGACGGAGCAACGCCGCGUGAGGGAUGAAGGCCUCUGGGCUGUAAACCUCUUUUCUCAAGGAAGAAGAACUGACGGUACUUGAGGAAUAAGCCACGGCUAAUUCCGUGCCAGCAGUCGCGGUAAUACGGGAGUGGCAAGCGUUAUCCGGAAUUAUUGGGCGUAAAGCGUCCGCAGGCGGCCUUGUAAGUCUGUUGUUAAAGCGUGGAGCUCAACUCCAUUUAAGCAGUGGAAACUACAAGGCUGGAGUGUGGUAGGGGCAGAGGGAAUUCCCGGUGUAGCGGUGAAAUGCGUAGAUAUCGGGAAGAACACCAGUGGCGAAGGCGCUCUGCUGGGCCAUAACUGACGCUCAUGGACGAAAGCCAGGGGAGCGAAAGGGAUUAGAUACCCCUGUAGUCCUGGCCGUAAACGAUGAACACUAGGUGUCGGGGGAAUCGACCCCCUCGGUGUCGUAGCCAACGCGUUAAGUGUUCCGCCUAGGGAGUACGCACGCAAGUGUGAAACUCAAAGGAAUUGACGGGGGCCCGCACAAGCGGUGGAGUAUGUGGUUUAAUUCGAUGCAACGCGAAGAACCUUACCAGGGUUUGACAUCCUGCGAAUCCCUUGGAAACGAGGGAGUGCCUUCGGGAGCGCAGUGACAGGUGGUGCAUGGCUGUCGUCAGCUCGUGUCGUGAGAUGUUGGGUUAAGUCCCGCAACGAGCGCAACCCACGUCUUUAGUUGCCAGCAUUCAGUUGGGCACUCUAGAGAGACCGCCGGUGAUAAACCGGAGGAAGGUGUGGAUGACGUCAAGUCAUCAUGCCCCUUACAUCCUGGGCUACACACGUACUACAAUGCUACGGACAAAGGGCAGCAAGCUCGCGAGAGUUAGCAAAUCCCAUAAACCGUGGCUCAGUUCAGAUCGUAGGCUGCAACUCGCCUACGUGAAGGAGGAAUCGCUAGUAAUCGCAGGUCAGCAUACUGCGGUGAAUACGUUCCCGGGCCUUGUACACACCGCCCGUCACAC
rnacentral:rRNA from 1 species